AAAAAAAAAAUUGCCUAUAAAAGUAGAAAAUAAACGAAAAUUUACGGAAGGGAUUGUUUUGUUCCUAAAGGAAAAUGAGGCCGAUAUAUUAAAAAUUAUUAAUGAAGGGAAGAGAAUUAGAAUACCAAGUAUAAAAACUUUAAUUAGCGCGUCAAGUGACACGGAUGAGAGCGUUAGAAUUACUGCCACACCUAUCCGAUCAUCCAAGUAUCAAUUAAAUGACGAAUGGCUUGCUGCGGAAUUCAAUUCAAUUAGAAAUGAAUAUACAUCACAGACACCACAGAACGAAUGUUACAAUCCGAAUUGUAGAAGCAAAAUAAUAGCAGUGGAGGAGGAAAAUGAAAAUUUAAAAGAAUAAAAUGCAAAUUUAAAAAGGGAAAUUGCAGAUUGCAAAGAAAAAAUGGAGAUAAUGAAGAAUAAAAUGAUAGAUCAUAUGUUAGGAGAAACAGGGGAAGAAGUAGUAAAUAACAACGUGGGCACGAAGAAAGUUGGUUGCGUAGACACAGCAACCGGUCAAG